rnacentral:rRNA from 1 species
GAUGAACGCUAGCUACAGGCUUAACACAUGCAAGUCGAGGGGCAGCAUGGACAUAGCUUGCUAUGUUUGAUGGCGACCGGCGCACGGGUGCGUAACACGUAUCCAAUCUGCCCGUUACUCGGGGAUAGCCUUCUGAAAGGAAGAUUAAUACCCGAUGGCAUGUAUUUCCGGCAUCGGAGAUACAUUAAAGAUUUAUCGGUAACGGAUGAGGAUGCGUACGAUUAGCUUGUUGGCGGGGUAACGGCCCACCAAGGCUACGAUCGUUAGGGGUUCUGAGAGGAAGGUCCCCCACACUGGAACUGAGACACGGUCCAGACUCCUACGGGAGGCAGCAGUGAGGAAUAUUGGUCAAUGGUCGGAAGACUGAACCAGCCAAGUAGCGUGAAGGAUGACUGCCCUACGGGUUGUAAACUUCUUUUGUUUGGGAAUAAAAGACGCUACGUGUAGCGUUCUGCAUGUACCUUACGAAUAAGCAUCGGCUAAUUCCGUGCCAGCCGCCGCCGUAAGAC